rnacentral:rRNA from 1 species
UACGUAGGGUGCGAGCGUUGUCCGGAAUUAUUGGGCGUAAAGAGCUCGUAGGCGGUGUGUCGCGUCGGCCGUGAAAACCUGGGGCUUAACUCUGGGCGUGCGGUCGAUACGGGCAUCACUAGAGUUCGGCAGGGGAGACUGGAAUUCCUGGUGUAGCGGUGGAAUGCGCAGAUAUCAGGAGGAACACCAAUAGCGAAGGCAGCUCGCUGGGACGUUACUGACACUGAGGCGCGAAAGCGUGGGGAGCGAACAGG